rnacentral:rRNA from 1 species
AUUGAACGCUGGCGGCAUGCUUUACACAUGCAAGUCGAACGGCAGCGGGGGCUUCGGCCUGCCGGCGAGUGGCGAACGGGUGAGUAAUGCAUCGGAACGUGCCCAAGUCGUGGGGGAUAACGUAUCGAAAGGUACGCUAAUACCGCAUACGUCCUGAGGGAGAAAGCGGGGGAUUCUUCGGAACCUCGCGCGAUUGGAGCGGCCGAUGUCGGAUUAGCUAGUAGGUGAGGUAAAGGCUCACCUAGGCGACGAUCCGUAGCGGGUCUGAGAGGAUGGUCCGCCACACUGGGACGGAGACACGGCCCAGACUCCGACGGGAGGCAGCAGUGGGGAAUUUUGGACAAUGGGCGCAAGCCUGAUCCAGCCAUGCCGCGUGAGUGAAGAAGGCCUUCGGGUUGUAAAGCUCUUUCGGCCGGGAAGAAAUCGUGUUCUCUAACAUAGGACAUGGAUGACGGUACCGGACUAAGAAGCACCGGCUAACUACGUGCCAGCCGCCGCGGUAAGAC